AUCAUUAUCAUUUAUCAGUAGGAUAUAAAGUAUUAUUAAGAAACGAAACAGGUCAUAAGUUAAAUUAUAAAUAUACUGGUCAGUAUAAAGUAACGGAAAUAGGAGAUAUAAAUAAUGUUAUAAUAGUUAAUGACAAAAACGAAAAACAGAUAGUUCUUAAGGAUAGAUUAAAGCUUUUUAUUUCAUAAUCACACUUAGUAUGGCCAUACAUAGAUAAUAACAUGUAUACGAGUACAUGAAUAUAUUUGAUACAUAAAUAUUUUUGAUCAUUUCAAUUUAUUAACGUUAUUAAGUACAAAAAAAUUAUGUCAAUAAUAUAUCGACAUCGACAUUGACAGCGUGCCAAGAGCCCACAACCAUUUCAAGUGCAAACGUAAUAUGAACUGCACUCUUAGCAUACCGCGCUUAGAGUCAAGUCAGCAUGGUUUCCAUACUGACCGCUUAUAUACACAUGUAAAUACAUAACUCUCUCUCUCUUUCUCCCGUUUUACAUAACAUAUAAAAUAUAUAAAACGGCUGCUCUGCCGCUGCGCCGACAGCUAGCAAGCCUUAGGCUAAGACAACCAAAAUUCAUUCGAAUAAAGACGAAUAAAGCUACCACAACCUACCAAAGCUUACAUGGCGAUCGUGACAAGUGUGACGAGGAGCAGGGAAGAGGCAACUGGACUUACUAACAUUCUACAUCUGAAGUGUUUGGCAACAAGGCGACAGGAGGAAAUAAAACAAAAAGUCUGACGCACAUCAAGUGGCUGCUAGUUGCACAGUAAACACCGCCUGCAUGGACGACGGCUCAAAAACUUUAUAAUGAGCUUGAAUUUUUAAAAGAAACCCUCAAAAAUAGAGUACCACAAGUCACAACUCACUCAGCAAAUAAAAUAAAAGUUAUAAAUCAAAAACUCAUAGCAAAAACAAAUACUCCCAAGCCACUGCCGAAAAGACCAGAAGUCUGCCCGACGGACUGCCCCGGACCUCUCUACUUUACAACAAUUACGCAUGAAUAAAGCCGAAGACCGGUGCGAAGACCGGCACCGUCCCCGGCCCCGCCUAAGCCAAUAGGGUCCGGACAUCAGCAGCAGAUCAACAAGCGAGAGGGGCAACCCGCCAGUUUCACCUCCGAAGGAGCCGAAAUUUGUAUACCCUUGCAGUAAAAAGAAAUAAUCAACUUUUGUAACACCAUGUGAAAUUUUUAAUGAUAUUAUAAAAACCAUCAUUUCAUUCUUUCUUUUUCAGACCGUUUUUUUUGACGUUUAUAAGUUAACUUAGUCCAAUUUUUAUAAAAUUGAAUUCGAAAUUGUAUUCCCAAUAUUAUAAGAUAAUAUGUCAAAAAGCCCCAAAGCUAUAACUUGUUUCAUAUUAUUUUUCCACCCAUUUUCCGAUUGUUCCUAUGACACCUAUACGAUAUAGACGUCCGAUUUUGAUCAAAUUUAAUUCAAAAUUCAGAACUAAUUAAAAAAUGUGAUUUCCAAACUUAGAACGCUAUAUAAUAGAAAACACCAAAGAUAUAAUUUUUUUUAUUUUUUCCACGAUAGUUCCUAUGGAAGCUAUAAGAUAUAGUUGUCCGAUCCGGCUGGUUCUGACUUAUGUACUACCUGCAAUACAAAGAAGUAUUUUGGAAAAGUUUUAGCCCAAUUGACUCGUCUAGUGAAGCUGAUCAAGAAUAUAUAUACUUUAUGGGGUCAGAAAAGUCUCCUUCAGUGAAAUCAUUAUACCAUCUGCAAGGGUAUAAAAAGAGAACAAAGCGCACAAACAAUAUAUAUUUAUGAUAAAAAAUAUAAAAAUAUUUUAUUUAAUAAGCAACGACAAGGAAAUGAAAUAAAAUAAAGUAAAUCUAAAACAA